GUUUGUAAAUAGCUAUUAGCCCGGCCUUCGUUGUUUUUUUGUUUUGUUCUGUGUUGAGGACCUGCGUAGGCACAAAAAUUGGCCUUCAACCACCGGUCGACAGCUCUGGGGAGAAGGUGGCUACGUUGUAGGAGUUCACUUAGGGAAGAAACAGACGCUGGCCGCACGCACCUUCCUUCCCUUUCUGGCAGCCCCAAAUCACGAGCCCCAGAGGUGUUUGAACUCGAGAGACGCACAGAACAGUCAAGGAAUCACAUAUUGAAGAGCCUUGCCAGGCGUUGCAAGUUUUCUCUGGGUCAAGAGUCCAGGCAUCACUUGGCUGGGUCCUCUACAACGUGAGGCUGGGACAGAGGAUCUGCUUCCAAGCUCAUGUGGUUGCUGGCAGCAUUCAGUUCCUUGCAGGCCUCAGUCCCUUGCUGGCUGUUGGCUGGAGACCCCCCACCGUUCACCAUUAACCUCAGGUCACUUGUCCCUGUGAUGAAGUUCACAGCAGAGCUGGAAUUUGAACUCUCUGCCCACAAUGUGUGGCAUGGUGCCACCUUGCAACCCAAAUAGCUCUACCCUGAAGCCAGGGCUGGGAGGGCCUCCUGAUCAGAUGCUCAGAGCAGCAUUUCUCCUACUUUAACAUGCACACAGAUCACUUGGGGAGCAUGUUAAAAAGUCCAUCCUGAUUCCUUGGAUCUGAGGGUGGGCUGGAGACUCUCCAUUUUUAAUAAGCUCUCAAGUGAGGCCAAUACCGCUGGUUCCAGAGGCAAAGCCCUAGACUCCAGGGUCUAGACCUAUGUAGGGCCUAAAAUCCAAAAUGUAUUGGGAAGGGGAAUAAUGGAACACAAAUUAUUUAGUAGACAGUUCACAGUCAUGAUUCUACCCACCUAAAAUGCUUUUUGAUAAAAGUUGAAUUUUCAGACAUCAUUUCCAUUGAAUAAACAUGUACAGUGAUCCUA